AUUGAACGCUGGCGGCAUGCCUUACACAUGCAAGUCGAACGGCAGCGGACCUUCGGGUGCCGGCGAGUGGCGAACGGGUGAGUAAUAUAUCGGGAACGUACCUUUCAGUGGGGGAUAACGUAGCGAAAGUUACGCUAAUACCGCAUAUUCUGUGAGCAGGAAAGCAGGGGAUCGCAAGACCUUGCGCUGAUUGAGCGGCCGAUAUCAGAUUAGCUAGUUGGUGAGGUAAAGGCUCACCAAGGCGACGAUCUGUAGCGGGUCUGAGAGGAUGAUCCGCCACACUGGAACUGAGACACGGUCCAGACUCCUACGGGAGGCAGCAGUGGGGAAUUUUGGACAAUGGGCGCAAGCCUGAUCCAGCCAUGCCGCGUGAGUGAAGAAGGGCC
rnacentral:rRNA from 1 species